rnacentral:rRNA from 1 species
GAGUGGCAAACGGGUGAGUAACGCGUGGGCGACCUACCUCAGAGUGGGGGAUAACAUUCCGAAAGGAGUGCUAAUACCGCAUGACAUCCUGCCUUUAGAUAGGUGGAGAUCAAAGCCGGGGAUCGCAAGACCUGGCGCUUGGAGAGGGGCCCGCGUCCGAUUAGCUAGUUGGUGAGGUAACGGCUCACCAAGGCUCCGAUCGGUAUCCGGCCUGAGAGGGCGGACGGACACACUGGAACUGAGACACGGUCCAGACUCCUACGGGAGGCAGCAGUGGGGAAUUGUUCACAAUGGGCGCAAGCCUGAUGACGCAACGCCGCGUGGAGGAUGAAGACCUUCGGGUCGUAAACUCCUUUCGACCGAGAUGAAUUCCCGCCGACCUAAUACGUCGGCGGGGUGACAGUAUCGAGGGAAGCAGCCCCGGCUAACUCCGUGCCAGCAGCCGCGGUAAUACGGGGGGGGCAAGCGUUGUUCGGAAUUACUGGGCGUAAAGGGUUUGUAGGUGGCUCGCUAAGUCAGACGUGAAAUCCCUCAGCUUAACUGGGGAACUGCGUCUGAGACUGGUGAGCUUGAGUGCAGGAGAGGAACGCGGAAUUCCAGGUGUAGCGGUGAAAUGCGUAGAUAUCUGGAGGAACACCGGUGGCGAAGGCGGCGUUCUGGACUGCAAC